UUUCAGAUGAUUGUCUUCUCAACUCCCAUACUUUCCUCCAUCACUCAUAAUUAUCUAUUGAUCCAACCCAUAGAAUCUCUAACAAUAGAUUAAUUCGUCUGUUUGAUUCAAUUUCAUCACCAUCCACAACCGAGACGACGACGAGGACGAGCAGGAAACUCGAGACUUGGUACCGGAAUCGUCAGAUCUAGCUCUGAACAGACAGGAGAAUCUGUUCCACCAGUGAAACUGUUCUCAGCGAGGUUAAGCCUCACGAGGUUAGUGAGACUGAACAAGCUCUCGGGUAUUUGCCGGAGAAUCUGUUUCCUUGCAGGUAGAGGUGACGGAGAUCGGAGGAGGUGGUUAGAUCGAGAGGGAGAGAGCCGGCGAGGGUGUUGAGACGGAGGUCCACGUCUCUGAAAGAUAUACUUUUUGGUCCACUCACUCCGGCAGAAAACUGAUUGCGCCACUUCGUCUUCAUCGUUUCCAUUGGAAACGUUUCCAACCUCGCAAUUUCUCUAAGUAACAUCGGCUUACAAUCAUUCUUUGUCAUUAAAAUCUCUUCUUUACUCCUUCAGUCGGAAGAGCUAUCGUUCUAAUUCCCUUUGUUUGUCACAAUAUAUAAACCUAUCCAUUCUAUUACUCUGUCCUUUCCGCAUAGCUGAAUCGUUUAUUUCUACAAUCUUUGUUUCUUUCUUUGUUCGCUUUGUGGGUUCUUCUUCAGAUGAUCUGAAAUCUGAAAAGUUUCAAGAUUUGCGAUGAAAUCAUCUGAUAGGCUUUAUUUGGUUGCGUUUCAGCUCACUCACACUCGAACCUGGUGUGAUUUAUUUGUAACACCUCUCAUGGAAAGACUGAGAAGAUAGCUACAUGGUUGUUUGAUCCUCUUCUUGCUUACUUGAAGACAUCACCAGAUCAAGUUGUUAAAGCUGGCUACUCGAUUAUUCUCAUGCCUGAUGAAUGUGACAGUGCAGCUUGGUUCACGAAUCUAACUGGUGAAAAGUAGGUUUGUUCGAUUAGUGAGAAACCUGGAUGUCCUAGAACGUGUUUACACUAUUGAAACUCAGAUAAUGCAGAUUAUGGACGCAAUUGGUAUCCAAAAUCGUGUGGUGGUAGUAAAUGUUUCGGUUGAUGAUGAACAACGUCCAAAAAGUUCAGAGAGUACAGAAACUUGCUCAAUAAAGGGAAAAUGAAGUUGUGAGUGUUGUAAAAACAUUUAUGGUGGUAUAUUCAAGGUAUGGCGGUGCUUGGAAACAUACCAGGCCAGGAACAAUUUCUUUAGUCAUAAUAGCAAAAGAUUUGAUGAAGAAUUUUGGCUAAUCCUCAAUUCUUCAAUUGAUUCCGCCACUGUCAUACGUCCACAAUCUCUUCGUCUGGUACCGGCAAAAGUUAGGCUGCUUGGUGAGGAUAAAAAUGGUGUCGCAUAUUAUAUGUUCUAAUUUUGUAAAUACCAGAAACUGAUGGAGGUUUUACAUGAAAAUCUGCUAACGAUGUCUCUCAUCGCUUUAGACUUUAGCUACUUGCCCGAUGUGAAAGUUCCUGGUAAAAGAGCCCCAUUGUUCUCAACAAAGGAGGAGAUGACAAGUUAGAUGGAGAUGCUGCUGUGAACAAGUUUUCCAGCGAUAUAUACUAGAGUAUGGAUGAGGAGAUGAGACAAGCCAUAUGCAUAUCAAUUUCUCUUUUGGUCUUCUAUUUUAACAACUUAUCUUUCACCUUUUCACUCACAAUAUAUACCUUCUCAGGUGGUUUUAGAUUUGAUAAAAAAAACUUUUUGAAAAAAAAAAACUUUUUGAAAAAAAAAACAGGAAGUUGCGUUGGAGGAUGAAAUCACAGACCAAGAGCAGAAAAAAGAUACUCCCCACAAGCGGCCUUCACUUUGAAUCUUAUUCUAAAUUGUAAAAGAAUCAAUGAAAGAGUUUGAACCUACAGUUGAAACCAGACCUUGAUCUGCUUAGGCUCCAUAUUUAGACAAAAUGGAACAUUCGAGAUCAAUUAAUUUUUGUGGCUAGAGCGCCUGUGAUUGCUCUGCCCUGAA